GAUGAACGCUGGCGGCGUGCUUAACACAUGCAAGUCGAACGAGGAAGCCCAGCUUGCUGGGUGGAUUAGUGGCGAACGGGUGAGUAACACGUGAGUAACCUGCCCUUAACUCUGGGAUAAGCCUGGGAAACUGGGUCUAAUACCGGAUAGGAGCGUCCACCGCAUGGUGGGUGUUGGAAAGGUUUAUCGGUUUUGGAUGGACUCGUGGCCUAUCAGCUUGUUGGUGAGGUAAUGGCUCACCAAGGCGACGACGGGUAGCCGGCCUGAGAGGGUGACCGGCCACACUGGGACUGAGACACGGCCCGGACUCCUACGGGAGGCAGCAGUGGGGAAUAUUGCACAAUGGGCGCAAGCCUGAUGCAGCGCCGCCGCGUGGGGGAUGACGGCCUUCGGGUUGUAAACCUCUUUCAGUAGGGAAGAAGCGAAAGUGACGGUACCUGCAGAAGAAGCACCGGCUAACUACGUG
rnacentral:rRNA from 1 species